rnacentral:rRNA from 1 species
AACGAACGCUGGCGGCAUGCCUAACACAUGCAAGACGAACGAGACCUUCGGGUCUAGUGGCGCACGGGUGCGUAACGCGUGGGAACCUGCCCUUAGGUUCGGAAUAACUCCCCGAAAGGGGUGCUAAUACCGGAUAAUGGCUUCGGACCAAAGAUUUAUCGCCCUUGGAUGGGCCCGCGUUGGAUUAGCUAGUUGGUAGGGUAAAAGACUACCAAGGCGACGAUCCAUAGCUGGGCUGAGAGGAUGAUCAGCCACACUGGGACUGAGACACGGCCCAGACUCCUACGGGAGGCAGCAGUGGGGAAUAUUGGACAGUGGGCGGAGGCCUGAUCCAGCAAGGCCGGGUGAGUGAUGUAGGCCUUAGGGUUGUAAAGCUCUUUUACCCGGGAUGAUAAUGACGGUACCGGGAGAAUAAGCUCCGGCUAACUCCGUG